AUUGAACGCUGGCGGCAUGCUUUACACAUGCAAGUCGAACGGUAACAGGGUGCUUGCACCGCUGACGAGUGGCGAACGGGUGAGUAAUGCGUCGGAACGUGCCGAGUAGUGGGGGAUAACGCAGCGAAAGUUGUGCUAAUACCGCAUACGUACUGAGGUAGAAAGUGGGGGACCUUCUGGCCUCACGCUAUUCGAGCGGCCGACGUCUGAUUAGCUAGUAGGUGAGGUAAAGGCUCACCUAGGCGACGAUCAGUAGCGGGUCUGAGAGGAUGGUCCGCCACACUGGGACUGAGAUACGGGCCAGACUGCCACGGGAGGCAGCAGUGGGGAAUUUUGGACAAUAGGCGAAAGCCUGAUCCAGCCAUGCCGCGUGUCUGAGGAAGGCCUUCGGGUUGUAAAGGACUUUUGUCAGGGAGGAAAUCCCUAGUGCUAAUAACACUGGGGGAUGACAGUACCUGAAGAAUAAGCACCGGCUAACUACGUGCCAGCCGCCGCGGUAAAAC
rnacentral:rRNA from 1 species